GAAUUCCUAGUGUAGCGGUGAAAUGCGUAGAGAUUAGGAAGAACACCAGUGGCGAAGGCGAUUCUCUGGACUGUAACUGACGCUGAGGCACGAAAGCGUGGGUAGCAAACAGGAUUAGAUACCCUGGUAGUCCACGCCGUAAACGAUGAGUACUAGGUGUAGGAGGUAUCGACCCCUUCUGUGCCGCAGUAAACACAUUAAGUACUCCGCCUGGGAAGUACGAUCGCAAGAUUAAAACUCAAAGGAAUUGACGGGGGCCCGCACAAGCAGCGGAGCAUGUGGUUUAAUUCGAAGCAACGCGAAGAACCUUACCUGGACUUGACAUCCCCUGAAUAACCUAGAGAUAGGCGAAGCCCUUCGGGGCAGGGAGACAGGUGGUGCAUGGUUGUCGUCAGCUCGUGUCGUGAGAUGUUAGGUUAAGUCCUGCAACGAGCGCAACCCUUAUUGUUAGUUGCUAACAUUCAGUUGAGCACUCUAACGAGACUGCCGCGGUUAACGCGGAGGAAGGUGGGGAUGACGUCAAAUCAUCAUGCCCCUUAUGUCCAGGGCUAC
rnacentral:rRNA from 1 species